CGCAAACCUAAGGGGUGGCUUUUGCCUGAGAUGCCUUGAUCUGCUUGUUACUGUCGAUCAACAGCGAACCCUUGAACCUGAUCCGGUUAAUACCGGCGUAGGAAUAGGUGUCCCCAACCGA
rnacentral:ncRNA from 2 species